ensembl:lncRNA
ACAGGGGCAUUUAGAGCAGAACAGGUCUUAUACAGGGGCAUUUAGAGCAGAACAGGUGUUCUACAGGGGCAUUUAGAGCAGAACAGGUCUUAUACCGGGGCAUUUAGGGCAGAACAGGUGUUAUACAGGGGCAUUUAGAGCAGAACAGGUCUUAUACCGGGGCAUUUAGGGCAGAACAGGUCUUAUACCGGGGCAUUUAGAGCAGAACAGGUCUUAUACCGGGGCAUUUAGGGCAGAACAGGUCUUAUACCGGGGC